AGAUCCCUACCAAGUCCGAGGAGGAGGACAACAACAAGGAUAACAGUUCUGACCGCUCCUUGUUCAACCGUUACGCUGGCCAGACGGGUGAGCUGAGCGCCAGACAGCUCCAGAAGCUCCUCAACGACAACUUCCCUCAUGGGACCUGGCACGGCUUUGGCUUGGACACCUGCAGGAGCAUGAUUG